ACGUGUGUGAUGAUUAGGCAGUGUAUCAAUAGCUGGCUGUGAACUACAAAACAGCAGCUAUGUGCACUUCCACAUCAGUACAUGCCAU
rnacentral:pre_miRNA from 1 species